rnacentral:lncRNA from 1 species
GACGAAUUUAUUUUGUCGUCACGCAAGUUCGCGAAAAUUUGCAUUAAUUCUGGUAACCCCUCUCUCUCUCUCUCUCUCUCUCUCUCUCUCUCUCUCUCUAUAUGUGCUCGCGACUCUUCCUCCCACUGUGCCCUCCCAAACCUCAAUACCACACCCACCGGCCACGCCCACCCACAAGACCAGACCCAAAACGUCCAGCCACACCCUACCAUCGCAGCCCAAUCCUUCGCAACCCUCGUCGAUGACCCCAGCCAUCGGAAAUUCAACAUUUCAGGCCGGAUUUCCCCCCAAAUUCAAGCAUCUCAAUCUCUCACCUCUGGCCACCAAUUCAGUGGAGUUAUGUAUGGAUUUUUGACUAUUUUACAUGCUUUAGCUGAUGGUUGGGUAGGAUUUGAUGAAUUCCUAGCUUAGGUGGUUCAAUUUUGAACCCAAAUGUUGGCCAGAUUUCGGGAUGAAAUUUUGGCCACUUUCGGCAAUUUUUUGGGGUAUGUCCAAGAACAAAACUGGCUCUAAUCGAUGUCCUGAACCUAGGGUAGGAAGAUUGGCCCUUGAUUUUGAGAUUUUUUCGGCGAUUGUUAUUGCUUUGGACACCUACGCACUGCCGGCGCCUGUGGCAGCGCGUGGGCACUAUACCAAAAGAGGAUUGUGUCCCGAUGCGAUCCCCGAGUUGUCAUGAGUGCGUAGGUAUGUACGGAUUCUAAUUUGGAUACCGUUUGAGCCUCGAAUGGAUUUCGCCUAUUGUGCGAUUUUCGGGUUUGAUAUUUUGGACCGUUGGAUCGAACUCAAAGUCACGUAUGUUGUACCUUGUAUUUCUAGGAUCGUAUAAGAUUCAACGGAUCGUGGAACGGAGUCCCGGAUACUCUGAAAUCACGAACCCUAGGGCAAGAUAUGCUUUAAUUAAUUAGUAAAUAUUCUUAUAUGUUUUUGUAUAUGUUGACUAAUUUAUUUGUUGGGUUUUUAUUUGGGUUAGUUAGUAUUAAUAAAUUAUGGGUUUUUAUUAGGUUGUAUAUGCUUAGAUUAUAUCUUGCUAAAUUGGAAUAAUUUUUUUAUAUUUGUUAAUUAAUGAAGAUUCUUAUAUAUUUUUGUUUUAUUAGUGGUUGGGAUUUAUGUUUGUAAAUUGGAUUAACUUUGGAUGCUUGUUCAAUUGUGCGAUGUCAAACCUGAUUAGAAGGCGUAAGGCGGUGAAGACUACACAAAGUUCGCCUCCCAUGGCUCAGCCGUCAGCUGUCACUGCUCCAACGCUGAUGGACCACUUGCCAGUUGGUCCCGGGGUGUCCCAUGCACCCGCGUCAUUAGUGGCGCAACCUGUUAGCUCCAAGAGUCGUCACCGGCCUGCCAACACCACCGACACCACAUUGACAGACGCUACUGGUGCGUCGGGGCCACAACC